CCUACGGGAGGCAGCAGUGAGGAAUAUUGGUCAAUGGGAGAGAUCCUGAACCAGCCAAGCCGCGUGAGGGAAGACGGCCCUAUGGGUUGUAAACCUCUUUUGUCGGAGAACAAAACCCGGGACGUGUCCCGGACUGCGUGUAUCCUACGAAAAAGCAUCGGCUAACUCCGUGCCAGCAGCCGCGGUAAUACGGAGGAUGCGAGCGUUAUCCGGAUUUAUUGGGUUUAAAGGGUGCGUAGGCGGUCCGUUAAGUCAGCGGUAAAAUUGCGGGGCUCAACCCCGUCGAGCAGUUGAAACUGGCAGACUGGAGUGGGCGAGAGGUACGCGGAAUGCGCGGUGUAGCGGUGAAAUGCAUAGAUAUCGCGCAGAACUCCGAUUGCGAAGGCAGCGUACCGGAGCCAGACUGACGCUGAGGCACGAAAGCGUGGGGAUCGAACAGGAUUAGAUACCCUUGUAGUC
rnacentral:rRNA from 1 species